rnacentral:lncRNA from 1 species
GCAAAGUUCUAGAAGAACAUGUAAGAUAGAAGCUACUACUGCAGCCAUCUUUGGAAAAUGCAGUCCUGCCAGACAAAGAUCACAGAGCUAUUCUGCUUUGACAGAAUGGAGCAGUUCAAACCAGGAGACGAAGAAUCAAAGAUCAGCUGGGCAGAAAAGCUCCCUACCACAUAAUGAACAAGGUUACAUGGUCAGACACAGCCCCGAAGUAAGUGUGUUACUGUGCAAAGUGAGGCCAUGAGUGUAUUUCAGAAUAUUACAUUAAAAAAUGUUCUUGGGUUAUUUGCC